UCCUCUUCUCGUCUCGCUGUUUUCCCUGUCGGAUCGGCUCGCUACUGCUGCGCCCGACUGCACGCAAGGCUUCAGUAUUAGCGAACACUAUCAGAAGAAACAGAAGAAUGUAGCAAGAGGAAUGAAUCUUAACCAUACCAUCGAAUCUGACUAGCACUAUGCACCUUCUGGUGGAAGGACCAGCCUUCAGUGUCUGGAUCUCCUUUGUAUGAGAACUAUCAAGACAUCAACAGACAUAUGUAGGAGACAAAAUAUCUAUGAAUUCUGGAAAAUAACUCAUUUUCAACUAGAGGUCAAAAUGGCAACAAAUGUCUUUUAAUUUUCUUUGAGAAGGCAUCUUCCUAGUUGGACAUCAGUAGAUUUACACAGAAGUGACCUCUGACUUACAGUUGGAGCUGAGUCCUUCUUUCAGAUCCUGAACCAUACUGGUGUGCUUAAGAUGACAAAAUUAGACACCAUAUGCUGUGGUUUAAUGUGGCAUGCAGCUCAGCACCCACAUUCACUUGCCCCCUUCUCCCAGUGGGGUGGGGAGAGAACUGAGAGAGAACUAAGUAGAAUUCAUGGGUUGAGAUAAAAACUGCUGAAACCAGGACAGUGAUAAUUUUUCAGGAGAAGAAAGAGGGAGAGAUAAGAGAGAAGAUUGAUUUUCUGUAGGUUACACAUUACAUUUUUGAGAGAAAAUUUUGUUCCUGAAUAUGCUUUUUUUUUCAAUAAUACCUUUUUCCGUUAAUGUCAUAAGCAAUAAAAUUUGAUCUGAAAAG
rnacentral:lncRNA from 7 species